UCAGCUAUAAAGAACAGACGAUGUUUUGGCAGAUACAAAGACAGGGUGACUCCAUUACAAAGAAAUGAGGAAACAUCUGUAAUACCAGGCCAGUACGAUGAAAUUGCUAGCAUGUAUUAUAAUCCAAUUAACAACACGAUUUCAUCUCAGAACCACAGAAACAUCGCAGAGCUUGGAAUACAUCAACUGUCCAAUAGGACGGACAAUUUUGAAAACGAUGAUACAAAUAGCAGUUCUUACCAAAGUAUAACGACAUGUACUGUCCAUCAGGUCAAAUCUAGUCAGGAGAAUUAUUCAGCAAGAUUAUCAACGGAUGAAUCCUAUCUUCUACCCUGUAGAAUGUCUAAUUUAAGUGAUAACAGCGAAACAAAUAUUAAAAGUAUUCAAAGAUAUGAAACACUGAACUUUUCGGAUAUAAAAGAAAAUAUGUAUACUAACUACAAUGUCACCGACACAUAACAGAAUCAGCAAUGUGUCCGUUUGCAGAACAAUUUCCAAUUUUCUCAGGGGGAUUUAAUCAGGUCGCAUACAGUGUGUCGACUGUCAGUUUUGACUGAAAUUGAAAACAAUAAAUGACUAAGAAAAUUAUACUAGAAUUAAUUAUUUUUUUUUUUGUAUUAUAAUUUUUAUUCUAAAUUUUUAUUCUUGUAUUUUUUUUAUUUGUCGUUAAUUUGUAUUCUUGUUUUCCAAUUCAAUUAUUUGGUCCUAAUGGCGGUGUGGGGUUGCAGUAGUUAAGAUACUGAAAUCAUAUGAUUUGUACAGUUAAUAUGUCCACUUUUAUAUUUUGUAUCAUCUUGUUUGUUCAGUUUAAUAACACAAUUUCGACCUUUUCAGUCGAUGGCCAUCCAGAAUAGUCAAAUUAUUAGCUAAGGAUUGUUUUUCCUAUGGCAUUAGUAAGGAAAACAACUCUCACACGUUGAAAAUUCAAGAUGUCCAUCGACCGAACAAUGCACUGAACAAACAAUUACUAGAAUUUUAGAAAGUCAGGGAGCAACCAGCAAUUUCGCAAUUUUCAGACUUUUUCAAUGUUAAUGAUUUUUAUUAUUAAAGUGCAACCAUGCAGAUGAUAUCCGAUAUUCAAAGGAUGGAGAACAUUUGACGUUGUUACUAUCAGAAAGAGAAACUGGGAGGACUUAGUAGAAACUUCAUAAUUGCCAACGCUAUAGGAUCGUGAUUUGGACCAAACAGAAAUAUUUCUCAAUAUUAUGGUGUUAUAAAUGAUGAUGUCAUGCAUUUCAGUUUUUAUUAAAUGUCAGUUUAUUCCUUUUUUAUUGA